rnacentral:rRNA from 1 species
GACGAACGCUGGCGGCGUGCUUAACACAUGCAAGUCGAACGGAAAGGCCCUGCUUUUGUGGGGUGCUCGAGUGGCGAACGGGUGAGUAACACGUGAGUAACCUGCCCUUGACUUUGGGAUAACUUCAGGAAACUGGGGCUAAUACCGGAUAGGAGCUCCUGCUGCAUGGUGGGGGUUGGAAAGUUUCGGCGGUUGGGGAUGGACUCGCGGCUUAUCAGCUUGUUGGUGGGGUAGUGGCUUACCAAGGCUUUGACGGGUAGCCGGCCUGAGAGGGUGACCGGCCACAUUGGGACUGAGAUACGGCCCAGACUCCUACGUGAGGCAGCAGUGGGGAAUAUUGCACAAUGGGCGGAAGCCUGAUGCAGCAACGCCGCGUGCGGGAUGACGGCCUUCGGGUUGUAAACCGCUUUCGCCUGUGACGCAGCGUGAGUGACGGUAAUGGGUAAAGAAGCACCGGCUAACUACGUG